GGAGGAGAGAGGAGGAAGAGGAGGAGGAGGAGAGGAAGAGGAGGAGGAGGAGGAAGAGAGAGAAGGAGGAGGAGGAGGAGGAGAAAGAGGAGGAGGAAGAGGAGGAGAGAGGAGGAAGAGGAGGAGGAGAGAGGAGGAAGAGGAGGAGGAGGAGGAGGAGAGAGGAGGAAGAGGAGGAGGAGAGAGAAGGAGGAGGAGGAGGAGGAGGUGGUGAAAGAGGAGGAGGAAGAGGAGGAGAGAGGAGGAAGAGGAGGAGGAGAGAGGAGGAAGAGGAGGAGGAGAGAGAAGGAGGAGGAGGAGGAGGUGGUGAAAGAGGAGGAGGAAGAGGAGGAGAGAGGAGGAAGAGGAGGAGGAGAGAGGAGGAAGAGGAGGAAGAGGAGGAGAGAAGAAGACAGCAGUAAACAUGCUAGCACGUUAGCUAACUAGCAGCACUGCUAACUCAC